GAUGAACGCUGGCGGCGUGCCUAAUACAUGCAAGUCGAGCGAACAGACGAGGAUCUUGCUCCUCUGACGUUAGCGGCGGACGGGUGAGUAACACGUGGAUAACCUACCUAUAAGACUGGGAUAACUUCGGGAAACCGUAGCUAAUACCGGAUAAUAUAUUGAACCGCAUGGUUCAAUAGUGAAAGACGGUUUUGCGGUCACUUAUAGAUGGAUCCGCGCCGCAUUAGCUAGUUGGUAAGGUAACGGCUUACCAAGGCAACGAUGCGUAGCCGACCUGAGCGGGUGAUCGGCCACACUGGAACUGAGACACGGUCCAGACUCCUACGGGAGGCAGCAGUAGGGAAUCUUCCGCGAUGGGCGAAAGACUGACGGAGCAACGCCGCGUGAGUGAUGAAGGUCUUCGGAUCGUAAGACUCUGUUAUUAGGGAAGAACAAAUGUGUAAGUAACUAUGCACGUCUUGACGGUACCUAAUCAGAAAGCCACGGCUAACUACGUG
rnacentral:rRNA from 1 species